rnacentral:rRNA from 1 species
UACGUAGGUCCCGAGCGUUGUCCGGAUUUAUUGGGCGUAAAGCGAGCGCAGGUGGUUUAUUAAGUCUGGUGUAAAAGGCAGUGGCUCAACCAUUGUAUGCAUUGGAAACUGGUAGACUUGAGUGCAGGAGAGGAGAGUGGAAUUCCAUGUGUAGCGGUGAAAUGCGUAGAUAUAUGGAGGAACACCGGUGGCGAAAGCGGCUCUCUGGCCUGUAACUGACACUGAGGUUUGAAAGCGUGGGGAGCAAACAGG